GGGGUUGUGGCUCAGCGGUAGAGCAUUCGCCUAGCAUGUGCAAGGUCCUGGGUUCGAUCCUCAGAACCACA
rnacentral:tRNA from 2 species